rnacentral:misc_RNA from 1 species
GCGGAAUCCAACUUCACUAUCUCCACCAACCACCACCAUGGCCGGCGGAGAACUCAUUGCCGUCGCCGGCGACUCUACCAAAAUCCCUCUCCAGGUUGUUCAUGAUGUUUGUCGAAUUUCCGGUGCCGGAUUUGCUGGUUUCUUCAAGAAAGACUGUACUGAUUUAGCUAGAAGAGUGUCCCUUUUGGCUUAUUUGCUUGAGGAAAUCAGAGAUUCCAACACCCAUUUGGGUUCUUCAUCAUCUUCCCAUGAUUCAUGCUUG